rnacentral:rRNA from 1 species
UACGUAGGGGCGAGCGUUACCCGAAUCACUGGGACGUAAAGGGAGCGUAGGUGGCCUAACAUGUCAACUGUGAAAACCCGGAGCUCAACUCCGGACUUGCAGUUGAAACUGGUAGGCUUGAGGACGGUAGAGGAAGACGGAACUGCCAGUGUAGGGGUAAAAUCCUUAGAUAUUGGCAGGAACGCCGGUGACGAAGGUGGUUUUCUGGGCCGGUUCUGACACUGAUGCUCGAAAGCCAGGGGAGCGAACGGG